AGGGUGCAAGCGUUACUCGGAAUUACUGGGCGUAAAGCGUGCGUAGGUGGUUCGUUAAGUCUGAUGUGAAAGCCCUGGGCUCAACCUGGGAACUGCAUUGGAUACUGGCGAUCUGGAGUGCGGUAGAGGGUAGCGGAAUUCCCGGUGUAGCAGUGAAAUGCGUAGAUAUCGGGAGGAACAUCCGUGGCGAAGGCGGCUACCUGGACCAGCACUGACACUGAGGCACGAAAGCGUGGGGAGCAAACAGGAUUAGAUACCCUGGUAGUC
rnacentral:rRNA from 1 species